UGGCUGCAGUGAGGAAUAUUGGUCAAUGGGCGCAAGCCUGAACCAGCCAUGCCGCGUGCAGGAAGACGGUCCUAUGGAUUGUAAACUGCUUUUAUACAGGAAGAAACCCUCCCACGUGUGGGAGAUUGACGGUACUGUAGGAAUAAGGAUCGGCUAACUCCGUGCCAGCAGCCGCGGUAAUACGGAGGAUCCAAGCGUUAUCCGGAAUCAUUGGGUUUAAAGGGUCCGUAGGCGGUCUUAUAAGUCAGUGGUGAAAUCCCAUCGCUCAACGAUGGAACUGCCAUUGAUACUGUAAGACUUGAAUACUUAGGAAGUAACUAGAAUAUGUAGUGUAGCGGUGAAAUGCUUAGAUAUUACAUGGAAUACCAAUUGCGAAGGCAGGUUACUACUAAGUGAUUGACGCUGAUGGACGAAAGCGUGGGGAGCGAACAGGAUUAGAUACCCGUGUAGUC
rnacentral:rRNA from 1 species